rnacentral:rRNA from 1 species
AUUGAACGCUGGCGGCAUGCCUUACACAUGCAAGUCGAACGGCAGCACGGGAGCAAUCCUGGUGGCGAGUGGCGAACGGGUGAGUAAUAUAUCGGAACGUGCCCAGUAGUGGGGGAUAACUGCUCGAAAGAGCAGCUAAUACCGCAUACGACCUGAGGGUGAAAGGGGGGGACCGCAAGACCUCUCGCUAUUGGAGCGGCCGAUAUCAGAUUAGCUAGUUGGUGGGGUAAAGGCCUACCAAGGCAACGAUCUGUAGUUGGUCUGAGAGGACGACCAGCCACACUGGGACUGAGACACGGCCCAGACUCCUACGGGAGGCAACAGUGGGGAAUUUUGGACAAUGGGCGCAAGCCUGAUCCAGCAAUGCCGCGUGCAGGAAGAAGGCCUUCGGGUUGUAAACUGCUUUUGUCAGGGAAGAAAUCCUCUAGGUUAAUACCCUUGGGGGGAUGACGGUACCUGAAGAAUAAGCACCGGCUAACUACGUGCCAGCAGCCGCAGUAACAC